UUGAUCCAUCAAGCUACAAUAAACCAAUCAAAAUUCCUGAAUGAUAUAAAUAAUAAAAAAAAAGACCUGUCUUUGCUGUUGCUUUUCCACGUAUAUGUUUGUAUUAUUAUUAUUAUUAUUAUUAUUAUUAUUAUUAUUAUUAUUAUUAUUAUUAUUAUUAUUAUUAUUAUUACUAUCAUAAGUGUUCUUUGGUAGAGCUUGCAUGCAUCUCAAUUACUCACUGUGCCAAUGACCUCCCACAACACGAAUAGGAGGGUCAAUAUGUGUUACUGAAAAUAAAAUCCGGAAGGUCACUAUUAAAUAUUUCCAGGAAAAAAAAACAAAAGAAGAGAAAGAAGAAGGAAAGAGACUGAAAUGCAGUGUUUGCAUUAUCGAGAUUCAAGUAUUACUAAUGUUUACCUACAUCUUGUAAAAGUUGGAGUAGGUACCAAUUAUAGGACCAGAGGAUUCCCUUCCUCUGCCUUUUGUAACCUUUUGAUUAUCAAUAAAAUUGCAUCCAGUCUCAACGAGAUGGAUGUUUGAUUUUUUUA